GAUGAACGCUGGCGGCGUGCCUAAUACAUGCGAGUCGAGCGAACAGACGAGGAGCUUGCUCCUCUGACGUUAGCGGCGGACGGGUGAGUAACACGUGGAUAACCUACCUAUAAGACUGGGAUAACUUCGGGAAACCGGAGCUAAUACCGGAUAAUAUAUUGAACCGCAUGGUUCAAUAGUGAAAGACGGUUUUGCUGUCACUUAUAGAUGGAUCCGCGCCGCAUUAGCUAGUUGGUAAGGUAACGGCUUACCAAGGCAACGAUGCGUAGCCGACCUGAGAGGGGGGUGGGCCACAAGGGAGAUGAGACGCGGACCAGGCGCCUGCGGGAGGGAGCAGGAGGGAAUCGUCGGCAAUGGGCGAAAGCUUGAAGGAGCAACGCCGCGGGAGUGAUGAAGGGUUUCGGUUCGUAAAACGCUGUUAUUAGGGAAGAACAAAUGUGUAAGUAACAAUGCACGUCUGGACGGUACCUAAGCAGAAAGACAAGGCGAAUUACGG
rnacentral:rRNA from 1 species